CGGGGAGGAGGCAGCGGAGGAGCAGCUCUCCUCCUGAGUCUCCAUCCCGGGAGCGACACGGAGAGAAGAGGAGAAGAAGGAGCCGACAGUCCUGCCUCAGCGGUGCAUCCCAGCAGCUCCUGAAGUUAAAGAACCAAGACGUCCACUCUGAGGUCAAGGAGACACGAUGUGCCGUGAAGCGUGUUCCGCUGUGACUGAACCUGUCAGAGAACCGACUGUCCUGAACACACAGGAUCCGUCAGGAGCUGGUGCAGAGACGUGCGACACCGGGAGCCCCGACACACCUGACGUCCACUUUCAACUGAGACAAGGAUUUGUUUCAGAAAACACAGAGAGUAGACAAAAGGCAGGAACACGUGAAUCUAUACAUCACGCACACGUUAAUCCUCAACAUAAUUCUUUCUAUUUAACUUAAGUCUUUCUGACAUUUUUCUCUUCAACAAGGCUCUGCUUUCCUCUAAGUGCAAGAGUUUGCCGAUUAUAAUAUUAGUUCAAAUGUGUA